CUCUAAGGCUCGGUGCAGGGCUCUUUUGCUUUUGUCUCUGAAAAUUCUCAUGCAUUCACACAGAGAUCAUCAACAAAAAUAGGGCAAUCUGAUGACUGCCUUCUGUGGUUCCACAGGGAAGGUGUUCAUCUUGGAUUCCAAGAAACAAAUAGUGUUUUUUUAAAUAUCCACAGAUUACCAAAAUACAAUCACAGUCAACUAAGGUGUAUGAUCAGGAUCAUGUCUGCACAGCAGGUUGAUUUAUUAGGUAAUCAUAGAAUCACAGAAUCAUAGAAUGGCCUGGGUUGAAAAGGACUACAAUGAUCAUCGAGUUUCAACCUCCCUGCUAUGUGCAGGGUUGCCAACCACCAGACCAGGCUGCCCAGAGCCACAUCCAGCCUGGCCUUGAAUGCAUCCAGAGAUGGGGCAUCCACAACCUCCUUGAGCAACCUGUUCCAGGGCAGUUCCAGGACUGUACGUGCUGUACAGCAAGGCUGCAUUCACUAUCAAAGGCCCUACAGAGCAGAGAAUGCUAUCUGAAGACUGAUGAAUCCCUACUGAAGGAGACCCUGUGAUGUGGCUGUCCACAGAAGCAGAG
ensembl:lncRNA